rnacentral:rRNA from 1 species
UGAACGCUAGCGGCAGGCCUAAUACAUGCAAGUCGAACGGGAUCUUCAAGCUUGCUUGAAGUGAGAGUGGCGCACGGGUGCGUAACGCGUAUGCAACCUACCUUUUACAGGGGGAUAGCUCGGGGAAACUCGAAUUAAUACCCCAUGGUACCAUAAAAUCGCAUGAUUUAAUGGUUAAAGAUUUAUCGGUAAAAGAUGGGCAUGCGUCUGAUUAGCUAGAUGGUGAGGUAAAAGCUCACCAUGGCGAUGAUCAGUAGGGGUUCUGAGAGGAUGAUCCCCCACACUGGUACUGAGACACGGACCAGACUCCUACGGGAGGCAGCAGUAGGGAAUAUUGGUCAAUGGGCGAGAGCCUGAACCAGCCAUGCCGCGUGUAGGAUGACGGCCUUCUGGGUUGUAAACUACUUUUCUACAGGAAGAAAAAGGCUAUGCGUAGCCAAUUGACGGUACUGUAGGAAUAAGCACCGGCUAACUCC